UUAUUUAGCCCAAGACUGGUUGCCCACUGAAGCUAAGCAGGGUUGAGCCUGGUCAGUACCUGGAUGGGAGACCUUCUGGGAAAACUAGGUUUCUGAUUGAA
ensembl:rRNA 5S_rRNA 5S ribosomal RNA